rnacentral:rRNA from 1 species
UACGAAGGGGGCUAGCGUUGCUCGGAAUCACUGGGCGUAAAGGGUGCGUAGGCGGGUCUUUAAGUCAGGGGUGAAAUCCUGGAGCUCAACUCCAGAACUGCCUUUGAUACUGGCGAUCUUUGAGCUCCGGGAGAGGUGAGUGGAACUGCGAGUGUAGAGGUGAAAUUCGUAGAUAUUCGCAAGAACACCAGUGGCGAAGGCGGCUCACUGGCCCGGUA